GCUACGGGCGGCAGCAGUGAGGAAUAUUGGUCAAUGGACGAGAGUCUGAACCAGCCAAGUAGCGUGAAGGAUGACUGCCCUAUGGGUUGUAAACUUCUUUUAUAUGGGAAUAAAACGUUGCACGUGUGGCCUUUUGUAUGUACUAUAUGAAUAAGGAUCGGCUAACUCCGUGCCAGCAGCCGCGGUAAUACGGAGGAUCCGAGCGUUAUCCGGAUUGAUUGGGUUUAAAGGUAGCGUAGAUGGGUUGUUAAGUCAGUUGUGAAAGUUUGCGGCUCAACCGUAAAAUUGCAAUUGAAACUGGCAGUCUUGAGUACAGUAGAGGUAGGAGGAAUUCGUGGUGUAGCGGUGAAAUGCUUAGAUAUCACGAAGAACCCCGAUUGCGAAGGCAGCUGACUAAACUGUAACUGACACUGAUGCUCGAAAGUGUGGGUAUCAAACAGGAUUAGAUACCCUGGUAGUC
rnacentral:rRNA from 1 species